AUGGGGAAACUGAGGCUCAGAGACCAUACAUCUUCUGCAAGGCCAGAGAGGGUACCUGGAGAGCCAGGUCGAAAUGCAGGUGUGUCUGCACAAAACAAGGCUACAUACCCCUGGCCACCUGCGGAGCGGAGGCGCGGUGGGAAUCCGGGGGAGGGGCGGCCACGUUUCCGGGAAAGAGACAGCCCAGACCAGGGCCCACUUCAGUUCUUCGUUGUCCAGCGGCCGGUCACCAGAGGGCGGCCCCUUCAGUGGCCAAGUACUGGCAGCCCGUGCCUGUCAGAGGCAGGCGUCCAAGGCCCGCCCCCCUCAACCAGCAAACACACAACUGGGAAAUACUUGCCAGUGCAGCCUUUCCUGUGUGGCCACACUGGGCCAAGAACUGCACGCCCCAAAUGCCUGACAACCCAGGCUGCCGGGCAGGGAUGGAUGGGGCCCGGCAGGCCCAGCGGGCAGCUGCUCUCACACACACACACACACACACACAGUCACACAUCUGUGGGGGGGAGGGGCUGCAGAACCAGCCCAGCCGGUUUGGGAUUCCCGCCCUCACUGGGCUGCAGGCCAAAGCCCCCCAAGUGGCCCUCACGGCCUGGGAAAAGGGUUCACACCUACCUUGGAGGGAGGACUUUGAGAUUCAAACUAGGCCUGCUCGUGCUGUCCAAAGGAGGGCUGUUUAGGGCUCUGGAUAUGGCAGUGGUGAAAACACACAGUCAAAUCAAACAAAAGGCAAAAGCCACGCACCACCCUCCCAACCACCGCAGCAAAUACCCCCGAGUUAACGCUGGUGUUUGGCUGGAACCAGCUAGGACUUGUUUUCCAGUUUUAAUCUAGUUUCCUGUGACGGCUUUAGUCUCUCUACACAAAGACAAGGUCUUCCUCUCCCUCACCCACCCUCCAACAAGACGAGAAAAACAGAGCUGUUUUUCUUCAACUAGAUCGAUUUUCAAAGAAAGUGUACAUUCCUGGGAAGAAAGCUGGCUAGCAUGUAUUGCUGUAAACAUUUCCAGAAGCUUAAAGCUAAAAACCUUAGCUUUAUAAAAGCAAAAAUCGCCCAAAAGCAUUUUUUCUUUAAACUGGCUUAUAUCAGACAAGAGAAACAAAGACAUACAUGCAGAUGAAGGUCUGGAAAAUCAGGACAUCUCACCGACAUGAACAUGAAAACUGCACUGAGCAAGGGUACUUACAAUGUAAAAGGAUUUUAAAGACUUAAAAAGAGUAACAACUGCUCGCAAUUGUUUGUUGCUGCCAUUUCGCUAGUCCUAAAACUAUACACUUAAAAACAUUACCUUGUUAAAAAGAGAGAAGGAGUUAAUAAGAUGGCCAGGUUUAAGUGUUUAAUAGAGGAAACUAUAUAUAUAUAAAAAUUUAUUGUUCAGUCAAGAGAAUACAGAAUAAGACAGCCUCCAAGACCCCCACCCACCCACCCACCUACCCAAGAAAAAAUAAAAAAGAGGAAAAAAUUAAAUAUGUCGUUUAC
rnacentral:lncRNA from 1 species